rnacentral:rRNA from 1 species
AAUCACUUGUCUUUUAAAUGAAGACCUGUAUGAAUGGCAUAACGAGGGCUUAACUGUCUCCUCUCUCAAGUCAAUGAAGUUGAUCUCCCCGUGCAGAAGCGGGGAUAAUUACAUAAGACGAGAAGACCCUAUGGAGCUUGAGACGAUAGGGCAGCCCAUGUUAAACACCCCCCACACCGGACCAAACUAAAUGGCUCCUGCCUUAAUGUCUUCGGUUGGGGCGACCCUGGGGAAUACAAAACCCCCACGUGGAAUAGGAGCACCCGUCCCCCCCCCGACUCCUCCAAACUAGAGCCACACCUCAAAUUAACAAAACUUUUGACCAAAAAUGAUCCGGCAACGCCGAUCAACGGACCAAGUUACCCUAGGGAUAACAGCGCAAUCCCCUUUUAGAGCCCAUAUCGACAAGGGGGUUUACGACCUCGAUGUUGGAUCAGGACAUCCUAAUG